UUCCAUGUGAGGAAUUGUAAACAACUUCUUGGAUUGAAAUAUCUUGGAAAUAUAUGAAACAGCACGAAAGACUUGAAAGGGUUAAAUCAGGAACCAUUCUGUAGACAAUCAGAAUUCAGAGUCCUUAACGGAUCUGCCAGGUGCAGACAGAGGGUCAACUUCAGGUCAACUUCAAAGACAACAAGUCUCAUUUCAGCAAAGUCAGGAGCAGGAGAUUUGGGACAUGUGACUCUAAACGUGUGAAACUUCCAAUCAUUUUAAAGAACAAUGUUUGAGUGGGAGGGGUUACGUUAGAAAGCGCGGUGGAUACAGCGUAGAGACCGGUAGAGAUACAGUGUGAGCCAGAGGAGCGCGGCUGUUUUACGUUGUCAUAGUGUUUGAGACAGUUUGGAAGAGAGCGACUUUUAUGUGCAACGCGUGCGAAAUUCAGGAUGCAAAAGAUACCAUUGACAGUCUGCACGUGAACAAGAACUGCAAGAUUUGCUGACCUCAAAGUAAUCUGAAGAGGAAGCUCUCCUUUGGCAGCAGAGUACUUCAUGCUUUCUGUGGACC